rnacentral:rRNA from 1 species
UACGUAGGGGGCGAGCGUUGUCCGGAGUUACUGGGCGUAAAGCGCGCGCAGGCGGUCUGCUAAGUUUGGUGUGACAGUUGGCGGCUUAACUGCCAAAGUGCUUCGAAAGCUGACAGACUUGAGGGCUUCAGAGGGACACGGAAUUCCGGGUGGAGUGGUGAAAUGCGUAGAGAUCCGGAGGAACACCAAAGGCGAAGGCAGUGUCCUGGGGAGUACCUGACGCUCAGGUGCGAAAGCCAGGGGAGCGAACGGG